UACGGAGGUGGCAAGCGUUGUUCGGAUUUAUUGGGCGUAAAGCGCACGUAGGUAGUCAUAUAAGUCAUCUGUAAAAUCCUUCCGCUCAACGGAAGAAGGUCAGGUGAAACUGUAUGACUUGAGUACGGUAGAGGAAAGCGGAAUUCCCGGUGUAAGGGUGAAAUCUGUAGAUAUCGGGAGGAACACCAGUGGCGAAGGCGGCUUUCUGGGCCGUAACUGACGCUGAGGUGCGAAAGCUAGGGGAGCAAACAGG
rnacentral:rRNA from 1 species